GUCGAUUUAUCACCGUUGAAUCAACGUGGGUAAAGGUUGAUCUGUCGACCGUCAGAGAAGGUUGAAUAUACGACGUUGAACCAUCGUCACUUUUGCCGGCCAGUUUUCAACAUUGGUAGGAGCAACUGGCCCGUAGCCAGGGGGGAUCGGAGGGUUCGUUCGAUCCCCCCCCCGCGACACCGCGCCCCGGACACACACGCCUCAAGAUUACUCAAGAUUUAUUCAUUUGUUCAUGUCCGAUGAAUAUACAUUGAUUCACAUUUAAAUUUACAAUAUCAAAUCCAGACUAAUCAAAAAAGAAAAGUAGACUAAGUGAGGACGAGUUAGAAAAACGGGUUCAUUUCUCCUAUGUUUAUGUUUACACGUUUUGUUCAGACUGCUUUACACCCCAAUCCAGUGGGUGGCGGUAAUGCCCCCAUUAGACCCCUUUCACUGACGUCACCCGAAACCGGAAGUAAACAAACCCUGCGCCACAUUGGAAGACCAACAAACUCGUGAUUAGGGGGAAAUAACGGCAGCGCGCGGUAUGUGAACCCACGAGGCACUUGGUUCAUCAAAAACCUACAAUGGUAAACUUUUGUGCUGUGUUAGGGUUCUAACAAAGCUGAUGGGAAAGGUGAAAAGAAGUCUUUCUACAGAAUACCAGCUGUGAUUGAGAUACAAGCAAACCAAGGAGCUUUCUGCCGGGAGACAGAGAGAGGAUUUAGCUGCUUUAUGCAGAGCGGAUCUGAAUACUUCAAGUCUAUUUUGUUACUGGUCUGCGCCGCAGGAGGAAUAGGCCACAAUUAUAAAUAAAUCAUAAAAUGUUUCUAAGAA